rnacentral:rRNA from 1 species
UACGUAGGGUGCAAGCGUUGUCCGGAAUUAUUGGGCGUAAAGAGCUCGUAGGCGGUUUGUCACGUCGGAUGUGAAACCCUGAGGCUCAACCUCAGGCCUGCAUUCGAUACGGGCAGACUAGAAUUCGGCAGGGGAGACUGGAAUUCCUGGUGUAGCGGUGAAAUGCGCAGAUAUCAGGAGGAACACCGGUGGCGAAGGCGGGUCUCUGGGCCGAUAUUGACACUGAGGAGCGAAAGCGUGGGGAGCGAACAGG